AGAGUUUGAUCCUGGCUCAGAACGAACGCUGGCGGCGUGGAUUAGGCAUGCAAGUCGAACGCGAAAGGGGAGCAAUCCCUGAGUAGAGUGGCGAACGGGUGAGUAACACGUGAGAAACCUGCCUUCAGCAGGGGGAUAACACUCCCAACGGGGUGCUAAUACCGCAUGAGACCACGGGGUCGCAUGGCCCUGAGGUCAAAGGUGGCCUCUACUUGUAAGCUACCGGCUGAAGAUGGUCUCGCGUCCCAUUAGCUAGUUGGUGGGGUAACGGCCUACCAAGGCGACGAUGGGUAGCUGGUCUGAGAGGAUGGUCAGCCACACUGGGACUGAGAUACGGCCCAGACUCCUACGGGAGGCAGCAGUCGAGAGGCUUUGGCAAUGGGGGAAACCCUGACCAAGCGACGCCGCGUGGGGGAUGAAGGCCCUUGGGUUGUAAACUCCUUUUGUUGGGGAAGAAAU
rnacentral:rRNA from 1 species